rnacentral:tRNA from 1 species
GGCGGGGUGGAGCAGUUCGGUAGCUCGUCGGGCUCACUAACCGAAGGUCGCAGGUUCAAAUCCUGCCCCCGCAACCA